rnacentral:rRNA from 1 species
UGACGGUACCUGACUAAGAAGCACCGGCUAAAUACGUGCCAGCAGCCGCGGUAAUACGGAAGGUCCGGGCGUUAUCCGGAUUUAUUGGGUUUAAAGGGAGCGUAGGCCGCCUGAUAAGCGUGUUGUGAAAUGUAACGGCUCAACCGUUGAACUGCAGCGCGAACUGUCGGGCUUGAGUGCGCAGGACGUAGGCGGAAUUCGUCGUGUAGCGGUGAAAUGCUUAGAUAUGUGAUAGAACCCCGAUUGCGAAGGCAGCUUACCAGCAUGUAACUGACGCUGAGGCACGAAAGCGUGGGGAGCAAACAGGAUUAGAUACCCUG